rnacentral:rRNA from 1 species
UACAGAGGUGGCAAGCGUUGUUCGGAAUUACUGGGCGUAAAGGGCGCGUAGGCGCCUUCUAAGUCAGACGUGAAAUCCCCCGGCUUAACCUGGGAACUGCGUCUGAUACUGGAAGGCUUGAGGAUGGGAGAGGGAUGUAGAAUUCCAGGUGUAGCGGUGAAAUGCGUAGAUAUCUGGAGGAACACCGGUGGCGAAGGCGGCUCACUGGCCCGAUACUGACGCUGAGGUGCGAAAGCGUGGGGAGCAAACAGG